rnacentral:rRNA from 1 species
UACGGAGGGAGCUAGCGUUGUUCGGAAUUACUGGGCGUAAAGCGCACGUAGGCGGCUUUUCAAGUCAGGGGUGAAAUCCCGGGGCUCAACCUCGGAACUGCCUUUGAUACUGCAAAUCUCGAGUCCGGAAGAGGUGAGUGGAAUUCCUAGUGUAGAGGUGAAAUUCGUAGAUAUUAGGAAGAACACCAGUGGCGAAGGCGGCUCACUGGUCCGGUACUGACGCUGAGGUGCGAAAGCGUGGGGAGCAAACAGG